UGCGGAUUGAUGUAAUAGUAACAUAACAGGCUCAUGCCCUGUAAAUAAAGGUGCAAAUCCUUUGUCCGCAU
rnacentral:tRNA from 1 species